UAAUGGGGUGUGUCUUUUUGACUAAUCAAGAUUUGAAGAGUUUUAAAAGAAGAAAAAAAUGGUUAGGUGAGAGAAGGUCAAGAAAAUUCAUCAAACACAUGCAGUUGAAAAAUAGCCAUGGACUCUUUUAUCUCUAAAAAUUAGCAAAAGAGAAAGUUCUGUGAACUUAUUGAAGUUAUUCUGGACACUUGCAGCCUUCUUACUUUUUACUGUUCAUCCCCCUCUCUUCUUUCUUCCCUUCAUUGUAACCAGAGAAUGGUUUUUCUAUAAAUAUUUUAUGAUAAUUAUCUUUAAUUAUUCGGAUUCAUUAUUAUUAUUUUUAAUUCUAAUUUGUUAUAAAUUACUAUAAUAAAUUAAAAUCAAUAAUAAUAAUAAUAAUUAAUAUAAUAAUAAAUAAUAACAAAAAUAUAAUCAUACCUCCAGAAAAGGGUGCUGUCAAUUUAUUUUUAAAUUCUUGUAAUCAUACUUUCUUAUAAUUAAUAAAAUGUAAUCUUUAAUUAAUUAAUUAAAAAGCUCUUAUUUUUUUAAAAUAAAUAUUUAAAAUUUACAUUUUAGUAAUUAUGAUCUAAAAAUGGGAAAAGAAAAAAUUAUGUGUAAAAUUUUAUAAGCUCGCAUUAAAUUAAGUUCAAUAUUUCUAUUUUUUAUUGUUGAAUUUUAAUUAUAAAUACAGUAUAAAUUAAUAGUAAUAAAUUGAUACAAAAUUAUUAGAUAAUAUAAUAUUUAUUUUAUCGAAAUUAUAAUAAUUCUAUCAUAAUAAAAUUUAAUUUAGUUAUUAUUAAAGUGUUAAAAAAUAUAUGACAGUCGAUUAAUAACAUGCUUAAAAUAGAACAAAUUUAUGUGAUUUAAAUGGAAUUUAAAUAUUCAUGACAUUAGUAUCUUACAAUACUUAUUAUAUGAUAUAAUAUGUGAAGUCAUAAAAACAUAUAUAUAUAUAUAUAUGUUGAAGAUAGAUUUGAGUAGUCUUCACAUGGAGGCUGAAACUGGUACAUGGCCAUCAACUUUGACAAAUUUGGACCACACCCUCGUAGGCCGAUAUAAAUACCAUAUUGUAUUAUUAAAUUACUAUGGUAUAUAAGACCUUAUAUUAUAAAAUCAAUCGUACAUGUGGAACACAUUAAUGAAGAUUAAUAAUUAAUUAAAAAUAAUAAUGACAAGAGGAGCAGUUAAUCAGUCAGUUUUAAAGAGCAGAUUUUGGAAGGUGACACGUCUCAUUAAAUAAUUGAUCAGCACAGGAAAGUCUUAGUGCUUUGGACGCUUUUUGGUCAACCUGGUAAACUCUAAAUUACACAUUACAUAAUUUUUAAUUAAGUAAUUAGGUUUUAAAAUAUUGUAAUUAUUGUAAUUAACCCUUUUUAUUUUUACUAUUAGGGUUAUUCAUAAUUAAACUUUAUGUUAUGAUUUCUUUAUUGAAAAUGAUGAAUUAGGUUAAACCAACUCCUUAUAAAAUAAGCUUCCAUGAAUUCAAUUAUUAUUAAUAUUUUAUUUCAUGGGGUUUUGUUCAUAUUAUUGUUAUUAUUAUAUUAUAUAUUAUAUUGGGUAAGUGUAAUUUUUCUUUUGGGGUAAAGAAUUAAUGGGUUGGAGAAAGUGUGUGACAGUUGUGUUUGUUUUGGAUUUAUUGUAUAUGCAUGAUAUAUUAUUAUUUUAACACCCAACAUUUCAUUAUUUUUAUUUUUAUUAAUUAUUAUUAUUUUUUAUAUAAAUAUAAUUAUUAUUUAUAUAAUUUUAAUUUGAUUUAAUAAAAAAAUAAUAUAAUAACGGUAAAAAUUGGUUAGAGAUUUAAUUGAAAACAAUUUUGAAGAAAUGAGUGAAAAUUUGGGUUCUGAGAGUAUUUUUGAAAGAAAAUCAGAAACAANNNNNNNNNNNNNNNNNNNNNNNNNNNNNNNNNNNNNNNNNNNNNNNNNNNNNNNNNNNNNNNNNNNNNNNNNNNNNNNNNNNNNNNNNNNNNNNNNNNNNNNNNNNNNNNNNNNNNNNNNNNNNNNNNNNNNNNNNNNNNNNNNNNNNNNNNNNNNNNNNNNNNNNNNNNNNNNNNNNNNNNNNNNNNNNNNNNNNNNNNNNNNNNNNNNNNNNNNNNNNNNNNNNNNNNNNNNNNNNNNNNNNNNNNNNNNNNNNNNNNNNNNNNNNNNNNNNNNNNNNNNNNNNNNNNNNNNNNNNNNNNNNNNNNNNNNNNNNNNNNNNNNNNNNNNNNNNNNNNNNNNNNNNNNNNNNNNNNNNNNNNNNNNNNNNNNNNNNNNNNNNNNNNNNNNNNNNNNNNNNNNNNNNNNNNNNNNNNNNNNNNNNNNNNNNNNNNNNNNNNNNNNNNNNNNNNNNNNNNNNNNNNNNNNNNNNNNNNNNNNNNNNNNNNNNNNNNNNNNNNNNNNNNNNNNNNNNNNNNNNNNNNNNNNNNNNNNNNNNNNNNNNNNNNNNNNNNNNNNNNNNNNNNNNNNNNNNNNNNNNNNNNNNNNNNNNNNNNNNNNNNNNNNNNNNNNNNNNNNNNNNNNNNNNNNNNNNCCCUAUUUCCUAUCAUAGAAUUGAAGUUUGAAUAAAUGAUAAUAUUGUCUUUUGUACAAAUUAAAUAGAUAUGCAUAAUUAAUUACGGAUUGCUAAUGGAGCCCGAACCAGACAUUAUUCUCUGUCGAUUCCUGUUUGAUUUAUUUUACAGUUUAAAUGCAUUAUGAUAUCUCUUUUAUCUAUUCUAUGGUUUUAAACCUAUGUAUCACUGCUUACUUCACUACCGUUUGAUUUUGAGAAUCUAAGAUAUGAUUGCAUUAUUGGAUGCACGUUACUUGUUUAUGUAUUUAUGUUUGAUUUGGUGACGGAGACUAAAGACAAACAGAAAUAGGAUGUGAUCUGAUAAAUGGAUAAGAUGACAGCCUCACUAGAUAUUUUGAGAGAUGGUGGACAGACCGGGUUCAUAUGGAACCCUACCGUGAAUGUUGUCUUAUACCGGAUGGGGUAUGGGGAUGGCCCGCUUCACCCUCAUACCAGAUAUGGUAUUGAGAUCUAAUGUCUUGGUGCUCAUACCGGACGGGGUAUGGGGACGACCCUGGAAUUAAGAUUGGUAAAGAAAGAGUUCACGUAUAGUGGGAAUACCCCUACGGAUCCCCAUGGAUACUAGUAAGCUGGUGAAACGAGAAACGGUGAUGAUUAGUUAUUGUUAAUGAAUAUGAAUUUAUAAUAUAUUCUAUGUUACUGAUUGUGCAUGAAGUUAUGAUCUGUAUUAUGUUAUUGUCUUUAUAUGUUGUUUUCACAGGUUCUCCAAGGGUAAGAAAAAAGAAAAAUGAUUUUAAUUUUAAUGAAUGUAUUGGUUUAAAAUUUGUGCUCCAUUUGUUGUUUUUGAUUUUUUACCAACCUUUGCUUCUGUGACGAUGAUAUAUUGUGAUAUCCUUACUGGGCUAGUGUAACUCACCAUUUAUUUAACCAUUUCAGAUCAAGAGGAUCUAGUUCCCGAGCUCGAUCCGCAAGAAGGCUACAAGUAGAUGCUAGAUACUUUAUAGUUUUCUUUAUUUUUCUAUUUUUUAUAUUUCUUUCAAAGAAUUUGUUCCGUGAUAUUUGUUAGUACUUUUGAGUUAUCGUGUAAGGGAUGUUAACCUUAACAUUUAUUUCGCUUCCGCACUCAAAUUAUUAUAUGCAUUUCUUUUUAAAUUUUCAGAGUCGUUACAAUUAUAAAGUGACUUAGUCUUACUUUCAAUAUACAUAUAUAAUCAAUAAUUGUAUUUGUUAUAUUCUCAUAAAGAUAUAUAUAUAUAUAUAUAUGUAUAUAUAUAGGAAUAAAAAAUUAAAAUGUUUGUUACUUGGUGGAAAUAUAACUUUUAUAUUUUGACUAUCUAACUUUAAUUUUUGUUGGUCGCAUUUUUUGAGUAAAGUUAGGGAUAAACUUACCCUAUUUGUACAAAAGUUAGUCAAUGAUACCUUGAUUGCUAAAAUUAAAAUAGAAAAAAUGGUUUUGUUUCUUUUCUAACUAUUUACAAAAUAACUAAGUAGCAUGUAUAUGUGUAUUUAAUUAAAAAAUAAUAGUUAGUUAGUCAAUCUAAUCUAAAUUUUAUUAUAAUUAUUAAAGUAGAGGUGUAUCUCUAUAAUUUUUGAACAUAGAUAGGGCAAACGUUUCUUUCUACGAGAAUGUGUCACAUCUAGAUUUCUCGACUCAUUUGGAGAUAGUUUUGGACUUAGUAUUUGAUAUCGUUUGUCAUCCUAUUUACCUUAAAAAGUAUGAUAUUAUAACAGUCUCCUAUAUAAAAGAAAUCUAUCUCGAUUAUUAGUUUGUGGAUAUCCCUAAUUGCAAUUCUUGAUCUUUAUAAAGCAUUAAACAUAUUUAUAUUAUUAGUCCAACUUGUGCAUAUUCGUCAUGUUGACUAUAAUACAAGAGCCACAUAUAAAGUCUCCUUUUUAUUGGUAAGAUUAUAUUUCUCUUAACCAUCAAUAAUGAAUUUAAUCUAUUCGAAUAGCGAAAACUCUUCAUCCCACCCAAGGGUAUCUACAUGAUUUCAAAUGAAAAAUAUUGGCCACGUUGACUAUAAUUGUAACACCCAAUAAUUGUUUUUAUUUUUAUUUUUAUUUUUUAUUUUUUUUAUAUUUAUUUAAUUUAUUUUAUUUUAAUUUAAUGAAAAAAGGGGUAAAAUUUUUGUUAAAGAUUAAAUUGAAAAUAAUUUUGAGAAAAAUGGGUGAAAAUUUAGGUUUUGGAGGUAUUUUUGAAAGAAAAAUCGAAAAUCGGGAGUUAAAAUGUAAUUUAGAAAAAUUGCACCACGUCAGAUGCCCAGUCAGCAGCCCCGACCAACUAGGAUGCGCUAGGUGCCAGAGGCUCUGACGCGGGAGGCCACGCGAAGGGGAGCCACGUGGGCGAUCUGCGUGUGCGCGAUCGAACGGCUGAGGUCCGUUCCUACGCGCACGGAUGGCCCAGAUUGAAAUUGCGCACGGACGACCCAGAUUGAAUCGCGCACAGAUGANNNNNNNNNNNNNNNNNNNNNNNNNNNNNNNNNNNNNNNNNNNNNNNNNNNNNNNNNNNNNNNNNNNNNNNNNNNNNNNNNNNAUCGCGAUCGGACGGUUCAGAUUAAAAGCGAUGGACUGCCCAAAUCAAAAGCGGAUGUGUAUAAAUAACUCUAUCGCACCCAAACCCAAACCUACCGCCAGAACCUCUCACCGGAGAAGACAGCCCAGCGGCCCAAGGAGCCAACCGCCACCGCACCAGAGCAAUUUAUGACCACCAAACGAGGUAAAAAUUUCAACAUUUACUCAGAAUUUAAUUUUAAACACAUCCAUAACCAAAUUGGAGCAAAAAGACCGACCGAUUGGUCGAAAAAUGUCGAAAAAACCCGACAGCGCCGCCGCCGGGUAUUUUGAAAAACGCCUCCAAUGAGGCCCUUCUCGAUUCCUGUUUGAUGUAAUUUUUUCACCGUUAUGAUCUCCGUUUCUUUCUCUACAAGUUGACUGGAGCAAAACACCAAACCGCAAUGUGAGCCAGAGGAGCCGCCGCACCGGAGAACCCCGCCAUCGAUGAGUUUCAAGUUUCUACAGUUUUUUGACCAAUCGAGGGCCCUAAGUGUAUUUUCUCGCAGGAACUUAUGCAAAUUUGGCUGAAUUCGAUCUAAAAAGAUCAAAAACAGCCAACCCGAGGAAGAUCGCCAUCGCCGGAGCAUGGCGGAGCCGCCGUGCCGGAUUUUUAAAAUUGGCCGAGUAGGCCCCGAAACUGAUUUUUGUGUUAUUUGAGACAUUUGUAGGUACUGUAAGUGCAUUUCAGUUUCUGAAGAAAAAUUCAGAACCGUCCAUAAGCGCAGUAAACCAUUUAGUUUUUCGGCAUCAAAUCAAGUAAGGACCCUUCACCCUAUUUCCUAUCAUGGAAUUGAAGUUUGAAUAAAUGAUAAUACGGUAUUUUGUAUAAAUUAAAUAGAUGUGCAUAAUUAAUUACGGAUUGCUAAUAGAGACCGAACCUAACAUUAUUUUCUGUUGAUUGAUUUUGUAGUAUAAAAGCAUGAUGAUUUCUGGUUUAUCUAUUUUAUGGUUUAAAUACAUGUAUUACUGUCUUACCUGACAACUGUUUGAUUUUGGGAUAUAAGAUAUGAUUGCAUUACCGAAUGCAUGUUUAUUUGUUUAUGUAAUUAUGUUUGAUUUGGUAACGGAGACUAAGGGAAAACAAUAAAUGAGUGUGAUCUAAUAAACAGAUAAGAUGACGGUCUCACUAGAUAUCCUGAGAGGUGGACGGACAGGGUUCAUGAGGAGCCCUACCGUGAACAUUGUCUCAUACUGGAUGUGGUAUGAAGACUUGGUCAUUUGGCGCUUAUACCGAACGAGGUAUAGAGACGGCCCACUUCACCCUCAUACCGGACGGGGUAUUGAAGUUUAAUAUCUUGGCACUCAUACCGGACGAGGUAUGAAAAUGGCUCUGUAAUUAAGAUUAUUAAGGAAAAGGGUUCACGUGUAGCAGAGACACCCCUAUGGAUCCCCAUGGAUACUAGUAGGCUGGUGAAAUGAGAGAUUGUUAUAAUUUAGUUUAUUGUUAAUGAAUGUAAAUUUGUGAUAUGUUCUAUGUUGCUGAUCAUGCAUGAAGUUGUGAUCUGUAUGAUAUUAUUGCUUCUAUAAUUUGUUUUCAUAAAUUCUCCAAUGAUAAGUGAAGGGAAGAUAGUUUUAUUUAUGAUAAACGAAUUUAUUUAAAUUUAGUGCUCCACUAGUUGUUUUAAUUUUCUACCAACCCUUACUUCUAUGCCGGUGAUAUAGUUUGAUGUUUAUACUGGGCUAGUGUAGCUCAUCCUUUAUUUAACCAUUUCAGAUCAAGAGAACCUGGUUCCCGAGCUCGAUCUGCAAGAAGAUUGCGAGUAGAUGCUAGAUACUUUAUAUUUUCUUUUACUUUUCUCAUUUCUCGUGUUUCUUUCAGAGAAUUCAUUCUGCGAUGUUUAUUUAGUAUUUUUAAAUUAUUGUGUAAGAGAUGUAAACCUUAACCUUUUAUUUCGUUUCCGUACUUAAAUUGUUAUAUAUUUUCUUUUGGAUUUCCGAGAUUGUUACAAUAAUAUAAGAGCCACAUAUAAAGUCUCCUUUUUAUUGGUAAGAUUAUAUUUCUCCUAACCAUCAAUAACGAAUUUAAUCUAUUCGAAUAGCGAAAACUCUUCAUCCCACCCAAGGGUAUCUACAUGAUUUCAGAUAUAAAAUAUGUAGAUAAAACACAUAUGGACCUUUUAGAAUUCCAGAGUUUUUCAUAAUAUCAAUAUUGCAAACAGAUACUUGAUUGUCCAUAUUUCUAUGUACAGACUCCUUUUUUCUUUAAAAGAUCCAUGCACUGGUCGGGAAAAUGACUUUCUAACUAGCAAUCCCAUAAAUACUUACUUUAAUAUUUAAAUUCUAAUUCAUCUACCUGUUAAUAAAAAUAAAAAAACUUAUUAAUAGAUUUAACAUCAAUAAGGUUAACUCAAAUCCAUUUUAAGAUAAAGACAAUCUUUAAGUAUAUGGAUGAUGCUUUCACUUCUCUCCAUGUACCUCGGACAUUUGUUCACUAUUGCUUAUAUCUCUUUUUUUUUAGAUAACAGAUAUUUGAAGAUAAGAAAUCACAUAAAAUAAGAAUAUUUUAUAGGACUUGAAACUUAAAGAGUUUUCAAAUAUUAAAUGCGAAUUAUAUACUAGUUUACUAUAGAGAUAAAUUAUUUUUUAUUUGUAUCAUUCUUCCAAUACACGGACAAUUUUUUAAUUCUUUUUUUAAGUUAUAUAUAAAUUAUUGAGCUUAAGUUCGAUUGUAUGAUUUUAUUCUCAAAAACAAAAAAAAAUUAAUGAUUAUUUUUAAUAAAAUGAACAUUGAAUCUCAAAAGCAUUCAAUUUUUAUACUUUUUCCAGUUUGGAAUAAGAAUAGCUAUUAAUAAAUAUCUUUUCUUUAUCCCCAAAAAGAUUAGAUCUAAUAAUCAUUUAACUUAUCUCACAACUAUAAUUAUUAUUCUAGUGUUAUAAUUAAGUUACUGUGCUAUUAAAAAAUUAGACAAAAAAAUUAUAGGUUCAUAAAUAAUUUAUAAACAAAGUCUUCAAAUCUCAUUCUGAAUCUUACUUUAAAUGUUAGUCAUUAUGCAUAUAAUUACAAUGUAAUAUUUUAUUUUUAGAAAAAAAUUACAGAAAUCAUCCUCAAAUUUAUGAAAUACACAGGCAACUCUAUAACUUAAAUUCUUAAACAGUAUUAUACAUUAAUACUUACUAACAGACUAACCACUUAGAAUUGAAAUCACAAUCUUGUAUUUUACUCUCAAACAAUCAUCGAUGCAAUUAAAAUCACGAAAUAUUUGACAUUUUAUCAAACAGUUUCUGAGUACACUCAGUUAAACUUUUGAUUAUAGUAUACAGGCGGCCAGAAGAGUUACAAACACAUAAUAACACAAGAAAGCAUUUGUCAAAGAGGAAGACAACACAGACACCCAUGUCCAAAUUCCAGACUUAAGGUCUCUGUCUCUCUGGCAUUUUAUUGAACAAUCUCCGAAGCAAACUCGGACCAUCCAUACAAGAAUAUCAGUUAGCUUAGUUUAUACCAUACAAAAAAUUAUAAUUCAAAGCAUAUCAUAGCCAAUUAGUUUUAGUUAGUGUAGCAUAAAACCUAGAAAACAUAUUCAUAAAAAUGUAUGUGCUUUAAAUAGUACAAUCAUUAUCUGCCUUCAAGAACUGUAAUAGUAAUUUUGUUAGUAGAAUUCAUAGGAGAAGAGUUUGUGUUAUUCAAGAUUUGCCUUUCAGUGAAUGCUGGCUGUUUCGGAUUAGGAAGAUCAACAAUCUCGCUCUUGAGCAUCGAGAUAACAGUCGAUACACUUGGCCGAUCUUUCGCAAAUUCUUGCACACACAACAAUCCCACAUGUACGCAUCUCAGCAUUUCUUCCUUAAACCUUGGUUCGAACAUGACUGCAUCGAUGAAUUCUACAAUGUUUUCCUCUUUCCACAAUUUCCAUGCCUGAAAAGUGAAAAUUGUAAGCAUUUGUUGACCUUGAAAUAUAGAGCCUUAUGUAAGUUUUGAAUUAGAUAGACUUACAUAACUCAGAAGAUUAAGAAACUGUUUAUCACUAUAGAAACUUGAGUUUCUCCUUCCACUUAUAAUCUCUAACAGUAAAACUCCAAAGCUAAAUACAUCUGAUUUCUCGGAGAACUGACCUUCCAUUGCAUAUUCGGGUGACAUAUAACCACUGCAGUUAAGAAAAUCUAUAUAUCUUGAGCUCAACUAUGUUGGAUUAUAAUUCUUACAAUGUUAAAAAGCUACUUACUAUGUUCCAACAACUCUUCUUGUAUUAGCUUGAUCUUCUUUGCCUCCAAAAAUCCUUGCCAUUCCGAAGUCUGAAAUUUUUGGGUUUAGUUCCUCAUCCAACAAGAUGUUACUUGCCUUUAAAUCUCGAUGAAUAAUUCGUAAUCUUGAGUCUCUGUGUAGGUAAAGGAGACCUCGACCAAUUCCUUCGAUAAUAUUAAGGCGCUUUCUCCAAUUUAAACCUUUUCUCUCAGUUGGAUCUAGAUCAAGUUUAUGUGAAAAAAGAUUACAGAAAAGAGGUGAUCAGUAGUUGUUCUGUAAAGUAAAAAGAAAAUGGUGCUUGAUGUUCAAGUGACCAUAGAAUAAGUUCCGAUUUAAUUUAUUUAUCACUGAUGUUGAUAAAAACUAUAUUGAUCGGUACAACUAACCAAAGAGAAUUGCAUCCAAACUUCGGUUUGGCAUGUACUCGUAGACUAAAUCUUUUCUUCGCCUUCAACACAGCAGCCAAAAAGUCUAACAAGAUUUCGAUGUUGAAGUUUAGAAAUCACUACAACUUCGUUCAUAAUUCUUCGAGUCCUUGUCCAGAAUUACUCGAAAGUCUCUUCACUGCUACUUCUUGCCCAUCUUGCAGCUUUCCCUGGAAAGAAAAUCCGAGCCAAGAACACUAUGAGUACUAAAUAGUAUGACAUUAUAAUCCAACAACAAUUUGAGUUUUAACUAACCUUGUAUACUGGACCAAAACCACCCUGCCCAAGCUUGUUGGAUGGACUAAAGUAGUUUGUUGCUGCUGCUAGUAUCUCAAAAUUGAACAAUGGCAGCUCCUGAACUCUGAUUUGAUUCUUAUUAUACCCGAGCGAAUCAAUACUCAAAAGUUUUGAUCUUCCCCCUAUAAUUAACAAAUAACAUUUCUUCAUUUCUUCCAUUUGAACAGUAAGAGUGAACAGUCUAUCUUCAAACUAAACUGAUAGAGAUGCUGCAAAAUUUACCUCUAUGUUUAACCAUCCAUCUCCAUAAGAAAAAUGUGCAGAUGGAAAUGGCUACUGUUCCCAAUAUGGCUGCAGUAAUGAUAAGAGCUCCAUAAUCCUCCUUUUUGUCUGGAAAUCAAAAGAAAAACAAAUAAAAAGAUAAGGUUUUUGGGUCUGACUUGGAAAUAGUGGGUGAUAAGAUGAUCAUGGUUUCCAUGAUAUGCUGCUUAGCUAUUUGGAAAAAUCUGAACUUUAGCCGAUGGUAUGUGGAAAUGGUGGAGAGACUUUUCGGUGAUGUUUAAGGAAGAAGCUGCAGCCAUAUUAAGCUGAUAACUGAGGCUUAAAGUUGCAUAGAAAAGGCAAAAACACAAAACAGCUAAGUGAACUACCUAGUUCUGAAUGGUGGAGACGAAUGUGAAGGUCUAUGCCAUCUGAUAAGAGAAUCUGUAUAUCAAUUAAGGCUCCUGUCCAUAACAUACACCCGAUGCCACUAUCAUAUGCAUAAGCUACACAGGAACAAUUACUCAAACAAUGGUCUUUACACUCAUCCUCGAGCCUGAAAGACCAUUGUACAAAGUCUGGAACUUUAACAUUUUCCAGCUUCUCAAACCCAUCUUCUUGGCUUGCUUUCCCACCAUUGUUCCUAUUGCACUGCAAGCUUUUCUUCCUAACACAACCACCUGUCCAGUUUCCUCUCUUCCACUCCUCUGGAUUCUUCGGUUCAAACCCUUUCAAGCAGCUGCAGAUUCUUUCUUUGUCACAGUAUCCAAAUUCUCCACACUUUCCAUAAAGUUCACAUUCAGUCCUUGGAGCCAUCCAGACCUGCUCCCAGUUAUUUUUCCCCUCUUCCCAAAAUGUUUGUACCAAAUUUCCCUCUGAGCUCAACACAAAGUUAGUUACCAAAGACGUAUUCGAAAAAGUAUAUGAUAAGUAAAAAGUCCCUUCUUCAUCCACCAGUUUAAACCCAUUUCCGUAACUAGAACUCAUUUCAGGUACCCCGGUAAAUAUCUGGCCAUUCCAUGGACCACUUCGCCAAAAUGGGCGAGACCCAUUCCAAACGAAAAACUCAGGAGCACUAACAACAUUUAUCCCAGCAGAAAACAUUCCAUCAGAUGGAUCAGAAUGACUUUUCCAUGAUGCAAUCUUCAUUUUCUCCCCGGUUCUCGGAUUAGUACUAAGCUUCAUCAUUGAUGUGGCUGUGUUCGAUGGAUGCUGGAAGCUCUCCCACAAGGUAAUUCCACUUGAAUCAUCUUUGAGGACAAGGUUUCCAGUAUCCAAAAGCUGAGCACUAGAAUUCUUCACCGGAUUGGAAAUAUUUGAUGACCAAAGAAUCUCAUUCUUCCCAUUCAGAAUGACAAGAUUUCCAUCUUCUGAUAUCUUCAUACUCCCGGAGGAAUCUUGAAGAGGCUUAUUUCGGUUAGCUACCCAGAUGACAGUCCUUCCAGGAAGAUCGUUAUACCAUAUUCCCGCAUACCGACAGGUCGAAUUAUCAGGACUGAAGAAUCCAAGUCUGAAAGAUCCUUGACUGGAGAUUAUAGAUUCAGUGUCACUGAUGAAUUGAAUUGGUGUAAUGGUGUCAAAAGCAACACAGAAUUUUAUAAGAACACAAUCUAACAAGCCGGAUAGAAGGAAUGAAAUCAAGCUGCUUCUGGCAUUCAUGAUCAGUUAAUUGCUUGGUCUCUGGUAAGGGAUUGACCUUGGGAAUGAAGGCGGCUUGAUAUGGGAGUUGUAGUUGACUUGACUUCUACAGUUGUGACAUAAUUAAUUAACAUUAAUAAAUCACUAAUACAAGACUAAAGUUAAAUGAUCUUCCAACAAAAAAGAUAGAUGUUUGAAUGUAGCAUACACAAAUUAUAAUAUUUCAAAGUCAUGCCAGUUAAUUGCUAUUAUAUUUUUGAAGAACGAGAGUGUUUUUGAAUUUUAAUUUAUAUAUAUUUUUAAUUAAUAAUACACACGAUACAAUAAAAUAUAAUUUUCAUAUAAAAUUUUAUAAAAAUACAACUCUGAUUAUAGUCAUAAUGAUGCAGAAUUCAAUCAUAUAUAACAAUGUUAAAUAUUUUCGUUCUCAUUCGUUUCCAGUAUCAUUUUGUUGCUAUCCUUCUGUCUCUCUCGCUCUCCAUGCUUAUUGCAGUAACUCAAAUUUGGAGUUGUUAGAAGAUUUUUUUUUUUUUUUCUCGUAGAAGUUGAUUUUGUUUCUUUUCCGGUUUGCUCUAUCUUAUUGAGUGAUUGAGUUUAUGAUAUGAAGAAUAAUCUAUUAGAGGAUAUAAAUGAGUUUUUAAGUUGAAAUUUAGGGUUAUUACUUGUUCCAAUUUAAAGUCUGAAGUUAAUUGAUCUUCUCUAAACAAUUCUUGGUUUGUGCGGCAAUAAUCCAUCUUUGAUUACCUAGCUAAGUUAAUCAGGAGAUGGAUAACGUUGCGCGUUUUUGGCUGUAAAUAGGAAUCUCGAUUUGGUGUCAUUUCUAUAUGAAGGUUGGGAAUAAAAAUGGGAUGUCUGUGGGUUUGGUAUGCACUCCCGCGCUUAAGGAAGUCCUCUACGAACGGAAGGUAAAUUAGAAGAAACAAAGCUGCUCGCAAAUGGUUCCUUCUAGUGGCAUCAGGUUCCUUCACUGGAUGGCUUGUCACGCUUUCUCUUUGCGUCUUAUUGAAGAUUCCAGAAAUUUAGUAAUGUUCUUUCUUUUUCUUCUACACACACACACACACACACACAUUUAUAUGGGGUUUAGGCGCUUGUUUAAUAUUUUUGUUGUACAAUUGUAUUUACUUGGUUUUUUUUUCUUGUUGUUCACUUGAGUUCAGCUAUAUAGAGCAGUAACUGGAAGGAGCUUGCGGGGAUUUAGCACUGGGUUUUGCAGCAGCUCGCGCAGAGUUUCUGGGAGUUACGAACCAAAAAAUGGUGAAGUUAUUUAUGAUUCCUAGUUGUGGUUCCCAUUUUCUUUUGUCUUUUUGGCUUGAGAAAAUGAAGAAAAAGGAAAGAGUAUUAUAAUUAACUUUUCUGUUCUAUUGUUGGUGAAGUGGAUUUUUAAAAUUGAAAAUUUAUCUGAUUGUUUAAUCUGUCUGCAUUUGAUACUACUAGCAUAGGAUAAACUUUCUUUAGUUUUGUGUUGAAAUGCAGCUAACCAUAGAAACUGGCUACCCUUAUGGUUUUUUAGUGCAAAUUCGGGUGUGACAAGGUCAAUUCACUGUACUGGUAUUUCUCAUGUUCUUUUCCAACUUCUUGUUUCUUCAACUAAGUUCCCUUGUUAUCAUAUGUUUUAACCAUUUGUUUCAGCUUUCGCGUUGGCAAGGGAUUAUUAUGAUAUACUUGGGGUUAGCAAAAAUGCCAGUGAAGGUGAAAUCAAGAAGGCCUAUUAUGGGGUGAGUUUAUUACAGCAUUUCCUUUUAUCUCAACACAUACCUUGUAUCUGUGGAAAUGCUUCGUUAUAACCAGUGUCCCAGUUUGUGUUGAUGUAUUCAGCUAGGAUUCUCUUUUAUCUUUUUUUCUGCCUCUACUGCUUUUUGUUUCCUGAUUUUCUUUUCUAUAUUUUUCUGCAGCUCGCAAAACAACUUCAUCCGGAUAUGAAUAAAAAUGAUCCUGAAGCUGAGAAGAAGUUUCAAGAAGUCUCAAAGGCAUAUGAGGUGAUACUUUUUUUUUUGAAAUAGUCAUAUGUGGUGAUACAGCAGUUUGUGUUUGAUAAUUUCUUUUGUUCUUUUAGAGAACAAGAGAGAAACAAAAAAAAAGAAAAUAGAUUUGUUAGGAUCAAAAGAAUUUUUUCACAUUGCCAAUUUAAUCUACAAUUAAAAUUUUGUAUAAAUCAUCAGAAACUUUCGAUCAGAAAAUUGUUACAAACUUGCAUUAAAAUCAUUAUGCACAAAAGUUUUCAAUUAAAAUAGCACACUCCUAGUGUGGGUUUAUCUAAAUGUGUUUAUAAGCUUGUUCUAUGAUUUAUUUACUCUGUGUUGAAGGAUUUUUGCUUCUUGUCCUGUAGGUCUUGAAGGAUAAGGAGAAGCGUGAACUUUAUGAUCAGGUAUGACAAAUAGUUUACUUUAAGUCAACCAAGUCAACCAAAUCUUGCAUAAUGGUCUAUCUAUUGGUUUCAAAUCUGUUAGGCCCAUUUCAAAUCAAUUUAAGGUCUUUAGUUUAACUUUACGAGAAAACUACGAACUGUACUUUCUGUGUUUAGCAAGUUUUUGGAGGCUCAAAAGCUAUAUCUAGUUGCUUUUAUCUCUGUUCCUAUCGGUUGUAUUUUAUUAUAUAAUAUAAAGUCAUAGGAAUUAGCAAAAUAUAUAAUCUAUGGGUGGGUUGACGUCAAGGCCAUGCAUCUCUUGUUUGUGAUCUAUACUUAUGCAUGCUCCCUUUAAUUCUCUAUCUAUUAGUCAUAUGGUGGAGAAGACCUACUUUUAUCUUUUCUUUGUUUAGUUGUUUCUCUUUCCCUUGUUUGUUCGUUGAUGUAAUUUCCAUAUCAGUUGUGUUGAAAUUUGGUUUUGUUCACAAUCUUACAGGUUGGCCAUGAAACAUUUGAACAGAAUGCCGGCAGUGGCUUCCCUAAUGACUCAGGAUUUGGUGCUGGAUUUAAUCCAUUUGAUAUCUUCAGUAAUCUAAAUAAUGAUGUAAUAGCUUCUUCUUUAGCAUCGUAUUGCGGAUCUUAUUUUAUGUUAUUAUGCUAUGGUUUAUCUUUUCUUCUGUGCUUUAUUGGUCAUUUAUUUGUGGGAAAAAAAUGAUAGGAAAAAUCAUGCUAGAAGAUGUAUGUUAAGUCAAUAUGUUAAGUCAUGCAAAACUUCUUCAGUUGCUCUAAGAUUCGAAAGCUUGAAGUUGUUCUAAAAAAAGUUCAGUAUAGCAAGGAAAAAUGAUUUGUUGAAAAUGUGUCAGAAGUUUGUUUACUAAUAGAAGAUACCGAGAAUUGCUGAGUUCAUGGUAUAGUUAGUUGUAAUGCCUUUGAGCUGAGGCAAAAAUGCAUGAUUUUUUCCCUUUUCUUUCCUGUAAAUGAAAGGUUAACAAACAAUAGAAGUUAGUUAGUAUGCUUAUUGCUUCUCCUUUCAAAAAAAACUAUCAGCUAUACUUUCCUCUGGAAUUAUUAGAACCACACAGAUACAGAUGCAGCCUCUUCUUUAAACACCUCUUGUCCCCAAACCGUAGGAGAAAGAAAAAACUUCUUUAUGAUGGAAAAGUUGGGAGAUAAACUAAGAGUGAUUUAUCAAGAACAGAGUUCUCGUUUGAUAACAAUCCACAGGGGGCAUGGAAUCUAAUCGGAGACAAAGUCAAUAUCUAUUCGUAUUUCUCCUUUCGUGGUCAUGUCAUUUUUUCCGCUUUUUAUAAAGAACACUGGAAUGUUGUCCGUUUGGAGACGGAGGUGCAGAGAUGGUAAGAAAUCUUUUUUUCUUCCCUUCUUGUGUAAGAGCUCUUAACAUAUCACAAUGUGACAGACAUAUCUUAUUGUGAUUUUCUUGAUAGAAAAUUAUGAGUUGCUCUAGUGCUGCUUUUGCAUCUUGUUUUCUGCACUGGAGUCUAGUUUGACAACAAUACUCUCAAUUUAAUAGGAUGCAUGGGCCAUUUAUGCUUUUGGGAACGUUAAUCUUGUUUUGAAGUCUAAUGAGUUGCUUUCCUGUCCAUGAUGUUGCUCAGAUCUUCAAUAUGUUCAGGCGUGAUAUUGGCGGCCAGGAUGUAAAGGUCAUCAUCAAUUUCUUACCAUCUGUACGUUCUUUUAGUUUAGAGAUGAUUUUACCUCUAUUUUUUUGGUUAUGUAGGUUUUGAUUGAGUUAUCGUUCAUGGAAGCUGUUCAAGGAUGCAACAAAACUAUUUCAUUUCAAACAGAGGUGCCUUGUCAAGCUUGUGGUAAGGAUGUUAUUUUAAUGGUAGAACCUUUUAGGCUUUUCUUUCCAUCUUCUUUACCAAUUUUAAUAUUAAAUUGAUGGGGUUGAACUUGUUCUGGUAUAUGACUAAAUGAUCUUUUAUUUUUAGAACUUUAAUGUGUUUAUUGUUCUUUCUUUUCUGCAGGCGGGCAGGGGAUCCCACCUGGUGCCAAACGCGAGCAAUGCUGGAACUGCAAUGGCCUUGGGAUGGUCAGUAUUCUUGUUUAUGUUUGUACUAAUAUAAUUAUAACAAUACGCACAUGCUGAAACAUGCGCAGUUUUGUGUGUGUGUGUGUGUGUGUGUGUUGUAGAAAUUAAAUAGGAUAGUAUGCUCGGCUUCUCUUUGGGUUGCUAUUUUGUCAUGCUGCAAGAGUAUUGGGUUACAUAGUAUUGAAUCAAUAAAUCCAGAUAUGCUUCUCGUCUAUUUAGUUUUUUCUUCUUUCGGAUGAGAAACAACUAUUUAUUGAAAAAGAAAAAAUUAGUUACAUAGUAUUAGCUAACAAAAGAUUUAACUCUUUGGAAUAAUAUAUUAAACUCUUUUAUAUAUUAUUAUUUGUUAUCACCUUAGACUGCCACUUGUAAUCAUUCUCUUUAGAGGCUUUCUUUUCUCUAGUUACUUAGUGUUGAUUAGUAAAGACAUGACUCUUUCUGAUAAUACAUGCAAAAAAAAUUAUCUUUUAAAUACUGUUAUUAUUUGUUAUCGUCUUAAAAUGCACUUAUCAUCAUUUUAUUUACAGGUAUUUUUUUCUCUACAUGGAUGUAGAUAUGUUUCUUUUUCUACCAAUGUACGCAUAUGCACAAAUUGGCUUAUUAUUGAACUGUGCAAAUAAUUUGUACUCAUUAUCAUAUGUUGCAGACAACCAUGAAAAGAGGCAUGUUUAGUUUUCAGAGCACGUGUCAUAAGUGCGGUGGAACUGGUCAAGUUGUAUCAGUAUGUUAUGCAUCUAAAUUUCUGCCUAUUAUCAGCUUAUCGCAUCAACAUUCAUUUUUUUCUCAAGCUUAGAGUAUGACCUUAAUUAGUGCCUUUGUCAACUAUUUUUUUCUUUCCUUCUCCUUUCCUUUCUAUCUCUCUCUCGUAUAUUUUCCGCCACAGAAUCUAUUAUCAUUUGGUGGAUAGUAUUCAUUAUUUGUCUUGUUGGUUGGAGACACGUUGCUGUCUCUUGUGCUUGUAGCUUUUGUAUUUACAGCCUUUCUAUUGUGUGUCUAAGGUGUUCCGUUCUCUAAUUAAACCCAAUGGGAAAUGAAAAUGCAUUUCUAGAGAUUUUAAGAACUUUAGUAAGAAAUAUAUUAUGAUUAUUGUAUUAAUGCUAUAGAUGAUAAAGUUUUUGCAUAUAGGGCCAGCCACCUGUUUUGCAUGCAUGUUCAUUCACACGCAUGCACUUAUUGCUUCAUCUUUUUCCAUGAGAAAAAAAUAGAAUGUUUGAACUGUUUUGGGGAUAAGUUCAGAAACGUGAUUCUGGUCAGUAGUUAUAAACCUUUCUGUUAUUUUCUAAUGCUGAAGAAAUGCUUCUGUCUUUUGGUGAGUAAUUAGAAAAGCUGCAGUUUGGAAGUCACUGGUCUUACAUUUUGGCACUUUAUUUUAUUUUUUAUUGCCUUGAUUUAAGUACAAGUCAAGUUUUGCAGAGCAUUCUCCUCUUUUUACCUCUUAUCUUACACCCUUUUCAUUUUAGAUGAAAGAACUUGGAGUUAUUGUGUGAUGGUGCAAUUGUAUAGUUUACUCACAAAGAAGCUUCCCUCUCCUUUAACAGUGAUAGUGGUUGCCUCCUUAUUCAGCUGCUUACUUCUAGGCCUGAAGAGCGUUUGGAGCUGUAUUUAUCAUGUUUGUGAGACAUGAUUCUGGACAGAUGUUUGCAAGUUUCUUAGCUUCAUAUUCCAGAUUAGAACUUUAGGACUGAAAUCAGACAUAUGUAUUGUGAAACUUAAGAUGCCCUUCCUGAAAUUUUUUUGCAUAGGUAGCCAUGAAUAUUAUCUAGUCAGUGAUGUUUGUUUCAAACUCUGUUUUUUUUUUGGGAUCAGAGCAUCUGCAUGUCGUGCAAGGGAGCUAAAGUAGUGAGAGGACAGAAGUCAGUUAAACUGGAUAUCAAACCAGGUUUGGUGAUUGCACAUUUUAUCUUUGUGUAUGUUAUCACAUUUGAUUAUGCUAUGCCGUGACCUCAUCUUGUUGCCCACCUGUCACAUGUCCAUGUCCAGUGCUCGUUUUCUUUUUGGUCUCAUUUUGUUUCUAUUUCUCUGUCCAUGCUGUUUGUCACUCUACCGAUUUUCAGUCUUUUAGGAAUUGCUUCAUGCUGUCUUGUUUUCAUGGUUAUUGCCAUGCUACCAUUUUAAAUAGUCAUUUGUCAUCCUAAAUGAUUUAUUUCAAAAAAAAAAAAUUUGUCUUCCUAAAUGAUCCACUGCAUCCUUUGAAGUGCUUUUAUUUAGGGGAUGGUUUAUUCGAACUAAUCCAUUGGAGUAGAAAUCUCUAGAAAAAGCUUCUUUAUUUUUUCCUUUUAUCCAUUAGUACGAACUGUUGUUAUUAGAAGGUAAUUUUGAAACUAGAGCCACUUGUAUUUAGUUCAUCAGACUGAGCUAUAUCUCAUCGUCAGGAAUUGAUAACAAUGAUACAAUAAAGGUUAAUAGAUCUGGUGGAGCAGAUCCUGGUGGAAGUCAACCUGGUGACCUAUAUAUUACCAUCAAGGUUACUUGAUUAUGUAUAUGUAUUGAUACAGCCCCUUUAUUUUUCAUAUUCCUUUGAAAUCAUUUUCAAAAUUUGAAACUUAAUAUUUACUGUUGAAGGUCCGUGAAGAUCCCAUCUUCCGUAGAGAAGGUGCUGACGUCCAUGUAGAUACUGUUUUGGGUUUCACUCAGGUAACCUAAUCUUUGUAUGAUUAUUAUGGCUCAAGAAAGACAUUGUGUCAGAUUUGCAUAUCUUUGAUCAGUUGCGUGUAAUCCGGGAUUUAUAACUCUUCCCCAAAUGUUUUGUUUUGUUACCUUAAAUAAAAGAAAAUUAUUUUUAUCUGGUUAUUCUUUGUAUCUUUUUAAUUAGAGAUAUUGGUUCCAUUUGUUAUAUCAAAAUAUUUUGUAACUUUCAUUUUAUAAGCAUAUGUUUAUAGAUAAAAACAUCCAUUGUAGAACGUGCAUGUAUGGCAACAUAUUUCUCGAGAACACUAAAAAUAUUUUUUUAUUGUUUUCAAAAUUGUCAAGUUUUUAUUUUUAUUUCCAAUUAGUAUUUUCAUUUUCCACGAUUACACAUGGUUUAAUUUUAAGCAUAUACGGGAAUAGCUGUUAAGAAGGCAUGAAUGGUUAUAGAAAAUGAAAACUGAACAACAGUUUUUCAUAUCAAAGGAAGCCGUCCUAUCUUGUUCCUAUAAUCUUUGCAUCUGCACGUUGACUUCAAUAUGAUUGAUUAUAGCAAUGGUCAAUAUUCUUUACUGGAACUAAUGGACACAUAUGUUCCCUGUGCAGGCAAUUCUGGGUGGAACUGUCCAAGUUCCGACUCUCACUGGUGAUGUUGUAGUAAAGGUUUUCUAUAAAUUUCAUAUAUUUAAUAAAUUGGUUUAUGGUUGGUAUUUGUAGAGUAGUUUACUGAAAUAAUUUAUUUUCCCUCUGCAGGUCACCCCUGGUACUCAACCAGGUCAGAAAGUAGUCCUCAGGAGUAAAGGUAAGUCGUCUGUUUCAGAUAAUAUUUUUCUGUACAGUCAUGUCAUGUUCUUAGCUAUAGAUUUCUAUUUCAUGUGGUUUUUACAAAGUUGGUAUUUAAAUAAACUAUAUUUUCUUGCUUGAAAGAAAGAAAUUAUACAUCUAUCUUUAUGUCUUUAACUAGAGAGAUCCGUUGUGAAAAGACCGGUGGAAGUCAGGGACAUGAACAUGAUUAGAGUUUGGAAGUUCAGUGCCUUCUCAGUUUCUGAAGAUAGAUUUUGGGUUAUGACAAUUUUUUCUGUGGUGCAACGCUUUGAGCGAAUGAACUAAAGUAGAAUGCUAAUGAAUUGGAAGAUUGUUCUUGGUUUCCUAGAAUUUCCUUCAUUAAGAUUUUGUUUGGAACAAAUAAAAAUUUUUUGUGAAAUUCAUUUGAAAAUUUACAUACAGUUUACCUAGAAGAUAACAAAAAUCUUGGAACAAAUGAAUUACUUCAAUUGGAAUUUAUUUAGAAAUGUAUUAUUAUGCUUAAUUAUGAGAUAACAAAAAUUCUUUUUCAAAAUAAAAUGAGGUAAUAAAAAUUCUACUCCAGAAAAUUCAAGUUGAGUUAAACUAAUAUAUUCUAAAUUUCUAUAAAUUUUGAUGAAAUUUGAAGUGCGUUGUCCCGGUCCAUCUUGAAUUUUAUUUGGAGUUGAAUUUAAUCUUCCUAUAGUUAAAUUUUCAUUAUUUCAUAGUGGAAGGAAGUACAUAUUUACAUAUAAAUGCUACAAAAAUAGCUCAUUUAUUCCAAACACAUUCUCAAUUGAUUCUUAAGACAUUGUAAUGUCUCUCUGCUUGUACUCUGUCAGGUUCCUUUAUUUUGGCAAAUGGGUAUGUUAGUCUUUGGUAGCGAUAGCAAUGAACACGCGACAACAUGCCUUCUUAUUGAUUUAACUUCAAAGCAUAUCUUUAUAUCGUCUUAUAGUAGGGCAUGCUUUGCAAAGUAGGAUUUGGGUGCACCAGUCACAUUGAGCCCUAUCUCAGCUAUAAUAAUGUGAAUGAUAUACUAUAGAUCUUCUUGGUUGUUUCUCUCUUAUGCAUCUUUUAUGCUUGAAUUUGAAUAACUAGUGAACAUAACACUUUUUACUAUAUGGACAUUGACGUGUACCGAGAAUAUCUUCCUGUGAACUGACACACAAUUUCAUUUUCUAUUUUCACCAACUAAUGCAACUACGGGAAAAUGGUAGGCAACUAAAUAGGCUUAAUUAUGGUUGUUUUGAUAGGGAUUAGAGCAAGGAAUGGCAUGUCAUUCGGGGAUCAAUAUGUGCACUUCAGUGUCGGCAUCCCUACGUACGUUUUCUCUUCUGAAAUCUUGCUGAAUGCACAGCCCAUCUCUGCAUCCAUUGGGAAAUCUUUACAAUAUUGUCUGUUGUUUCUCCUUGUUUUUUUUUUUUUUUUAAAUCUGUUUCAGGAAUCUGACACAGAGACAGCGAGAAUUGAUUGAAGAGUUCGCAAAAGAAGAGCAAGAAGAAACUGAUAAGCAUGCAGCUGCCGGAUUAUCUAAAUAAACACCAAAGAAACCAAAAUGGUUUAGAAGAUGGAUUAGGAAAAAAGAAGGAACAGAGAAGAGAAGCAGUUAGCUUCUGUAAUGAGCAUCUGCUUUGGAAAUUUGGGGUGCAAAAAUUGUUUUGGAACUUAAAAACUGUAUUGGGUCUGGCGUAACAUAUAUCGUAGCAUUGCCAAUCGACUCGCUUUCUAAUAAAUUUCUCUCGUUCUAUUGUAAAUUAACAUUUAUAUUAUUAUCUGGGAGAAGAUAAAAUUGUUAUAUAAUUUGAUAAAAUUAAGUUCAUUUAAGAUUUUUUUAGUUUGAAUUUGAAUAAUAUUUAUUUAUUUUUAUUUCAUAUAAAAUUUCCUACUUUCGGAAUAUAAGAGCAGGAGGGGAGGAAAAUGGACUGCAAUCUGAAAUGCCGUUAUUUAGGUAACAACAAUAACACUUAAUUUCUUCGUAAAGUUAAUUUUUAGAAGUUAAUUUUUAUUCAUCGUUUCGUUUUAAAAUUUUUAUAUUAAAAAAUUUUGGUUUCACAAAGGCAAAUUUUAUGAAAUUUAAUUUAAAAACAAUAAUUAGCUAACAAAAAUAUUUAUUUAUUUUUACUUAAAUAAAAAGAACAUAUGAUUUGGUAAUAUCAUAUUUUCGUUUUCUUUUACCUUAUAUAUUAUUCCCAACGCUCGUUCCUGCAUCCUGUUUCUAUUUUUUAAAAAAUACGACCGUUACAUCUUGUGCCCAACCCCAACGGCUAGUUUUCUACUUCUAAACGUUUCUGCUCCAGGGUAUCAUAGGUGGAGAAACCUAGAGAUCAAGUCCAACAACAAAAAAGACGGAUUCAAUUCGAUUAGGAAUUCUCAGAUCAAUUUUAUCAAUGGCCGAGGUAGCACGCGAGAAUCCGUGUUCCCCAACUCCACCGGCUCCGCCCCCUCCUACUCGGCGGCCAAGGGUGAGAGAAGUGAGUUCUAGGUUUAUGUCUCCCGUCUCGUCUUCUUCAUCUUCUUCUUCCUCCGCCGGUGAUCUUCAUCUGUUGGGCUCGAAGUCUCCUUUCCACAAACAGCAACAACAACAGCAGCAACUACACCGCUCAAUUUCUGUCCAGAGGCAAAGACGGAGUUUAGAAAUGGAAUCGGACGAGAACAGGCUCAAUGAAACGGCUCGGAGCUUGGAUUCCCCCUUCCAAUUAGCCACCCAGAAGAAAAAUCAGCAGCGUGCCGGCGGUAAGACUCUCAAGGAUAAUACCGCCGGCAGAGCCUUGAGACCUGAUACGCCUAUGCUCAACAGUGUCGAUCGAAUGCCAUUCUCAAGACUAAGAACCAACCACCGUGUCACUGCUACCCCCACCGCCGCUGCAAAAUUACUGCAAUCCAGUGGGAUGUCAGCGUCGUCUGCUGCAAUUCAAGACGGGAAUCAAAGAAAUAGUGGUAGUGAUCUCAGCGCGGAUAUGUUGCCAAUUGUUUCCAGUUCCAACUCGUUGAAAUUCUCGGCUUCUCCUUUCUCUCGUUCUCUCAAUUCUCCAUUUUCUACUUGUGAACCUUCGCUCUUUCAUCCCGUAAAACCUCUCAAGACUGAUCUGCCUCCAGUUCCCCCUCCUGCAAAGUUGACCACAGAUACAAGGAAGGCGAAGAAAAUUUCUUCCCAUCAAGAAGAUGUGCAUUCUCUAAAAUUGCUCUACAAUCAUUACCUGCUGUGGAGAUACGCCAAUGCAAAGGCGGAGACUGCUAUGUGCGCUCAAAAGCGUGAUGCCCAGGUUAGUCAAUGGCUAUAUUAUGAACCAAAAGUUGAAGUAAAGGGUCUUCAGUUUUUAGUUGUUACUUUUUAUUUGGGUACUGAGGAUAAUGAUCCAAUUGGUAAGGUGGUAUUGUUUUGUCUUGAAUCCAUUUUAGUGAGGUUCUGUAUAUUGUUUUAUGUUAUUAGGCUGAGGAGAAAGAAAGUUGGAUUGUAAUUUGUAAAGUAUGUUUAUUAGGUUUAAGUAUUAGUAGAACAGGAAUUAAACUAAAUGUGACCUUAACAAUUAUGGCUUGUGGCAAAAGGUUGGUCAUAAUAGUCGAUAAUUCGGUGAGCAUAAGGGUACUAAGAUUUAGCAUGCUGGAGCAUCAAAUCUCUGCAUCAGAAUGGAUCGAUAAGAAAUGUUAAGAGUUUGCUUGAUACUAGUAAUAAUUUUGGAGAUAUGAAAUUUAUAAUUGAAAAAUAGAGUGAAAAGAUUUUGUGAAUUGUAAGCAGUUAAGUAUAUGAUGGUUUUAUAGUUAUAUUUGUUAAAUUUAUUUAUUGGGGAUUGAUAUGUUUUAAGAUAUAGAGACUGUGUAGAAAGUAAUUGUGCUCUUCAUUUCUUGACAAAUACGAAGAAGGCAUUUAUUUGUAUAUCUAGGUUUGUUAGUAAGAAUCUAGAGUCUUCCCUCUAGGUUUUUCCCUUUUCCACACCUUCCCACUAUCUUCUAGAUUAUUCCUCCAUCUUUUACACUUGUGCUACAUCUUCUGUCAUUUUUCUUUUAUUAUCUACGAGAAUUUCCUUUUAUCUUAUAGGAUCUUCUAUCAUUUUCUAGAUUUUUCUAGAAAAUUCUAAGUUUUUAAUAUUCUUAUAGAAUAUUUUAGUAUAACUCAAAGGGUCUUGUUAAUUCAGUAGUUAAUGGGCCUUUUUGCAACUCCAAGCAUCUUCCACAAUACUUGAACCUUUCUCACGAUAAUGCUCUUGGAAGAUAUCCAUUACUUGUUCUUUAGUCUACCAAUACUUGAGUUUGAUGUUUUUCUUUGUAAUUACUUCUCGUAUGAAGUAAUAUUCUAUCGCCAUAUACUUUGUUUGGUUGUGGAAAUGCCUUUAUGAUUGCAACAAUUGACUUGUUGUCACAAUAUAUUUUAUCGGCUCUUCUUGAUAUUCGCACAUAUUUUCAAAUAUUUUACUUAGCAACAUUACUCGGCUUGUUGCACGAAUUUAGCUUCUGGAGAGGAUUGUGGUACUAAGUCUUUGGAAGUUGGUUUCAAGAGGGUCUACAAGACCAAUUUAAUCAUCUACAUAAGCUAAAUAAAAGAACAAUUAGAAAGAAAUUCUUAAAUACCUUAUCUCUGUCAGUGACAAUAGGACUCAGCAUUCUAUAGAGCUUGUAAACUUGAUCUAAGAAGACUAGGACGAUGGUUUGAGUAGUAAAAGGGUGUGACAGGGCUAAAAAGUGGUCAUCCUUGGUGAACCGGUCUACCAUGACCAGGAUGGUGUCCUUGUCUUUUGACUUGAGAAAGUGCUCUAUAGAAUCCAUUUUUACAUCAGGCCAAACCUGCCUCGUAACCCUGAGUAAGCUUUACACUGUUUGCAUACCUAACAUUUUGUAUCCGUUCUUCUACCUGCUACUUCAUUUGACUUGAGAAAGUGGUCAUCCUUGGUGAACCGGUCUACCAUGACCAGGAUGGUGUCCUUGUCUUUUGACUUGAGAAAGUGCUCUAUAGAAUCCAUUUUUACAUCAGGCCAAACCUGCCUCGUAACCCUGAGUAAGCUUUACACUGUUUCCAUACCUAACAUUUUGUAUCCGUUCUUCUACCUGCUACUUCAUUUUAGGCCAGUAGAAUCCUUGCUUUAACUUGCUAUAGGUGUCCCUUACUCCCGAAUGCCCUCCUAAGGGUGACUUAAGAUGGUGUUUUGGCAGCUUUUCCCCUUACUUGUGUUUUCUCCCCUACAAACAGGCGAUCUUUAUGCCUCAGUACUCCUUGCUAGCAUGCACAUGAGCAUUGGGAAGAGAAACCAACAUUAGUUAUGAAGGAGGUUUUAGGCCAUUUUUUCCCCUGGUAUGAUUGGUGAAUCUCCUGCAUUCAAAUGGAAACAACUGCUGAGGCUACCAUGUAUAAUUCUCCUCCUUUCAUACACCUCUCUUUUGGACAAGAUAUCUGCUCUCUGUUUUCAAUCCCUUUUUUUGUGCACAAUCUUGUAGUUGAGUCAAUUUCACCAUCUCCUUGACUUGCACAAGGGUCUGGACUCAUUGCUCUAAGAGGUGUUUAAUGCUUUGUUGGUCAGCCUUAGUGAUGAAUACAACCCUUCAAGAUAAUGUCUCCGCUUGGUGACUGCCACGAGGAUUGCAAGAAACUCUUUCUCAUAUGCGGAUAGGCUUGAUCCUUGGAGCUCAAGGAUUUAUUCAAGAAUGUUAUUGAUCUCCCCACUUGUGAUAGAAUUGUCUCUAUCCCUAUGUUGCAAACGUCUACCUCCACCAUAAAGGUCUGUAAAAUUGGGCAGGGCGAGGACAGGGGUGCUGGUCAUUGUUAUUUUGAGUUCUUAGAAGUCCUCCUCGACUUAUUCAUUCCAUUGGAAGGCAUCACUCUUGAGUAAUUCUGUCAAGGGUUGGCUGAUGGUUCCAUACUUCUUCACAAAUUUCUUGUAAUAUCUGGUCAAGGCCGAAAUCCCCUCAAUCCCUUAACUAUGGUUGCUCUCAGCCAGGUGACCAUAGUUUCACUUUUCGAAGGGUUUGUCUUUACACCUUCUCCUGUGAUGACAUGCCCUAAGUAUUCAACUUGUUUUCUCCGAAAGCAGCACUUGGAUUUGUGUGCAAAUAGCUUAUGUUAUUUCAGCAUCUGAAAUACUUUUUCUAGGUGUUCCUGGUGUUGUUCUAUUGUCCUACUAUAAAUCAAAAUGACAUCAAAGAAUACUAAUACAAACCUUCUUAUGUAAGGUUGGAAAAUUUGAUUCAUCAAGGACUGAGAUGUGGUUGGUGCAUUUAGUCAAGUCAAAUGGCCUUGAAAUAGUCAUUGUGUGCAUGGAAGGCUGUCUUGCUGUCUUGCGCACGUCUUUGGAGCUCAUCCUGAUCUGUUUAUAAUCUGAUGACAAGUCUAUCUUUAAAAAAGAUCGUGGCUUUAUGUAAUUCGUCCGGAAGGUGUCAUCAUCAAUCACAGGCAUGAGAAACUUAUUUUUUACUGUAAUUGAGUUUAACUGUGUGUAGUCAAUGCAUAACACCCAAGAGCCAUCUUUCUUUUUAACUAAGAGCAGUGGAGAGGCAAAUGGGCUGUGGCUGGGUUGAAUGAUGGACCUGUCCAGCAUCUUGGCGACGACUUCUUAAUUUUUGUCUUUUAAAGAUAAGGGUGCCUAUAAGGUCAUGGGUGGUGCCUCUGCCAUUAGAGGAAUGGAAUGGUCUUGCUCUCUUCUUGGUGGUAAGGAAUUGGGUUCCUCAAAAAUUCCUUGAUAUUUGCCGAUUAUAAGUAACAAAUAACUCCUCGUUAUCAUUAACCACCUCCUAAACCUUUCCUGGCAUUAGAGGAAUGGAGUGGUCUUGCUCUCUUCUUGGUGGUAAGGAAUUGGGGUUCCUCAAAAAUUCCUUGGUAUUUGCUGAUUAUAGGUAACAAUAAUUCCUCAUUAUCAUUAACCCCCUCCUGAGCCUUUCUUGGUUGGGUUUUGUAUUGAAUGGAGUACAUUAGUUGGGUUCCUAAAAAAUUUCUCGGUAUUUGCCGAUUAUAGGUAACAAAACUCCUCGUUAUCAUUAACUCCCUCCUGAGCCUUUCCUGGUUGGGUUUUGUAUUGAAUGGAGUAUGUGUCUUCCCCUCCUUGUUGUGCCUUUAGGAGCCAUCUUCCCCGUCCUUUACCUAGUGCCCUUUACCUAGUGCCCUUUACCUAGUGCCUGCGUCAGUAAUCCUUCACCUUUUACUCCUUGAAUGAUCACUGGUUUUCCAUCCUUUGUUAAGAUAAUUUGCAUCUUUUUAAAGUUGAAGGACCCUGGGUUGUGUGUCUCUUCAUUCAGUAUGUUUCCCAAGAUCAUGCCAUAUAACCCCAGCUCCAUCAUCCUAAAGGUCCUCUUGAACUGUAUUUUCUGCAUUCUUCAGUGCAAAACAGAGGUCUGGUGUUGGCUGGUUAAGGCUUCCCUGUCGGCCACCAAUACCUUGAGUGCUGGGAAAGGUAUGUGUACUGCUGCUGUUCACAAGAAUAAGGGCAAGUCUGGUGUCUAUAGUUUCCCAGAUCUUGGUUGUACUACCCUUUCCAUUCAUUCUGAAAAUUUGCAAUUAAUUUUUUUUGUUACAGCAAUUUCAUUCUUUCACAUGACUGAUAAAAUGAAAAUGCCAAGGAGAACAUUCACACAGUGGCACAGCAGCAGUACAAAAACUAAUUUGGCUUAGAUAUCUGAGUGAUUUGAUGAGAUUAUGCUGUUGCUUUUGUUAAUUGUUACUACUUCCUCUCUGCUUUCCUGUCUCUCUUUCUUAUUUCAUACUAUUCUGGAUCUUGUCUUCUAUUUUUAUCAUUGUCUAAUUUCCCUGCAGAGAGCACUUUACUCGCUUGGACUGAAGAUGUCAGAUUUACAUGCUUCUGUUCAGAGGAAACGAAUUGAACUUAGAUCUUUACAGAGAACAAUCACUUUAUCAACAAUACUUAAAGCUCAAGUAAGGCUAUCUUAUCUGCACGCCUGAAAUUUAAACCUUUAAAUUCUAUAAGUUCUCUAUUUGUACAAUGUGCCAUUUGAAUAUUUUUGGUUGCAUUGGCCAUAUGGGUUUUCUUUCAUUGUUAGUUGUAAGAUAAAGUUAUGCGAACACGUAUAGAUGCACUCGCUGGUUGUGUGAAUUGAUCUAACUUCCCUCUCUUGGCAUAUCACAAACUUAAUUGAAGAUCUUAUUUUGCAAUAUAACAUUUUUAAAAAAAAACUUAUAUAAGGCUUGCAUCGUUGAGUAUAGAUGUGGUCUCUGGAAGACUGGUCCACGCUUGAAGGGGAUUAUUCACAUUCUUUAUCAGAAACAAUUCAAGCUUUGUCGAAUGUCUCAACUCGGCUCCCAUUCAGUUCAAAUAUCAAGGUAUUCUAUUUGUAAUAUUGUUCUGAGCAUGAUGCUAGCCACCCUUGAGAUGCUCCAAUAAGGGAUGAUGCUUCUUUGCAGGUUGAUAUAGGAGAUGUAGGGGAGGCACUAAAUUCAGCAGUGAAGGUGAUGGAAACAAUUCUUUUACACAUUCAAAACUUUGUGCCAAAGGUAUGUCUUUUCUGAAACAAACCAUUUUUCAUGAGAAAGGAAAACAGACUUGCCAUAGACAUGUCUACCAAAGUUGAGCUUGAGCCUCCCACAAUUUGGAAACUUGUCAUUGAUCAGUAGCCAAACAGCCAAUCACUCGUUGACUUCAUAAGAAAAUUGCUUGUUAAAUGCAGGCUGAAGAGUUAGAAAAAUUGAUUUCGGAACUUGCAAGGGUGAUUGGGGGACAAAGAGUUGAGAUCCAAGAAUGUGGAGAUCUAUUAUCUCAGACGUAUGCUUUACAGGUUUGUCCUCAGAAUUUGUGAAAAUCUUUUGCAAUGUUCAUAUUACAAGUAUUCAGCUCAGUUGAAAUAAUCUUCUAUGGCCUUUGCCUGUCAUCACUCUGGUUGCUGUUUGGUCAGGUGGAAGAAUGCAGCUUAAGGAGCCAGCUUAUUCAAUUUCAUCGGAGCUGUCCAGACAUUAAGCAAUAAUUAAUUGCUAUACUACAUUCUUGAUUGAUAUAAAAUUUCAUCUUCAAAAUAUUUCAUGUGCAAAAUAGUUCAUUUCUUUUUUUCUUUUUGUUUCAUUGGCCAUGAAAAUGAUUUGAUUUAUUUGGAUUAAGUUUGGAACAAGUGAUAUUUUUUUUUGUAAAAUUCAUUUAGUUGAUGAAAUCUAAAGUAAAUACCACAAAAUACAUCCAUUUAUUCCAAAUAUAACUUACCUAUAAGAUUUCUCUCCAUCUGAGAGAAUCUGUAGUUCAUAAAUACAAAUUNNNNNNNNNNNNNNNNNNNNNNNNNNNNNNNNNNNNNNNNNNNNNNNNNNNNNNNNNNNNNNNNNNNNNNNNNNNNNNNNNNNNNNNNNNNNNNNNNNNNNNNNNNNNNNNNNNNNNNNNNNNNNNNNNNNNNNNNNNNNNNNNNNNNNNNNNNNNNNNNNNNNNNNNNNNNNNNNNNNNNNNUGUGUCAAGUCCCAAGGUAAAAGUUACCAGGAGCUGGGUCACUGGCAGAUUUCCAGGAAAUGAAUGCACGGUUCACCACCAUUUCUGGGCUGGCCCUAACUUUCAUACCUGGCAAAUAAGUGUCUGUUGCAUCGUUAAAGCUCUGCCCAAUGAGCCUUGUUGACAUCAUCAAGACUAGCUGUGCUUGACAAAACCAAAUUCCCAGUCCCCAUGAGCUUGGCUACUAUGUUGUUUGUGUAACAGCUCCGGAAAUCUCCAAAAGGAAAUAUAUAAUAAUUUAAGUGAAGAUGCGAAAUAAAAGGUUAAAAUUUACAUUUCUUAAACAAUAAGUUAAAAGAACUGAAUAACAUUACGAAAUUUAUUCUUUAAAAGAAACACGAGAAAUAAGGAUAACAAAUGAAAAAUAAAAAAUAUCUAUCAUCUACUCGCAAUCUUCUUACAGAUCGGGCUCUAGAACCUAAUUAUCUUGAUCUGAAAUGAUUAAAUAAAGGAUGAGUUAUACUAAUGCAGUAAGGAUAUCACAUUAUAUCAUCAUCACAGAAACAAAUGUUGAUAUAAAAUCGAAAACCACUAAUGGAGUAUAAAAUUUAAACCAAUACAUUUAUUAAAAAUAAAAUCAUUUACCGUUCAUGUACCAUAGUGGAAUUUAUGAAAACAACCUAUAAGAACAAUAAUACCAUACAGAUCAUAACUUCAUGAACAAUCGGUAAUAUAGAACAUAUCAUAAUUCAUAUCCAUUAACAAUAAACUCAAUCAUAAUUGUUUCUAUUUUCACCAGCUUACUAAUAUCCAUGAGAAUUCAAUAGGGAUGUCCCCGCUACACGUGAACCCUUUCUUUUAACAACUUCAAUUACAUGGCCGUUCCCAUACCCCGUCCAGUAUGAGCGCCAAAACAUUAAACUUCAAUACCCCGUCCGAUAUGAGGGUGAAGCGGGCCGUCCCCAUACCCCGUUUGGUAUGAGCACCAAAUUAUCAAGUCUCCAUACCCCAUUCGGUAUGAGACAACGUUUACAGUAGAUUCCUUAUAUACCCGAUCCAUCCACCAUCUCUCAGAUAUUAGUAAGACUGUCGUUCCAUUUGUUUAUUUGAUCAAACAACUUUCCUGUUUUUCUUUAGUCUCCAUUACCAAAUCAAAUAUAAUCAAAUAAAUAAAUAAACAUGCAUCAGGUAAUGCAAUCAUGUCUCAAAUUCUAAGUCAAGCAGUAGUCAGGUAAGACAACAAUACAUGCAUUUAAACCAUAAAAUAGAUAAAUCAAAUACUAUCAUACUUUUAUACUGUAAAAUAAAUCAACAGAAAACAAUUUUCGGUUCGGGAUCCAUUAACAAUCCGUAAUUAAUUAUGCACAUUUAUUUAAUUUUUACAAAAUAUCGUAUUAUUAUUUAUUUGAAUUUCAAUUCUAUGAUAGCGAAUAUGGCGAGGAAAUUCUUAUUUGAUUUGACACCGAAAAGCUAAACGGUUUAUUGCGCAUACGGGCGAUCUCUGAGUUUUCUGAAUUUUUCUCCGGGAAUUGAAACGCGCUUAUAGUACUUACAAAUGUUACAAAUAAAUCUAAAAUCAGUCUCAUGGCCCACUCGGCCAAUUUCAAAAAUCCGGCACGGCGGCUCCGCCGUGCUCCGGCGAUGGCGUCGUUACCUGCGGCGGUGAUUGCCUUGAAUCAACCGUUUUCGUCCGAAUUCGGCCGAUUUUGCAUCAAUUCCUGCGAGCAAAUACGUUAAAGGGACUCAGUUGGCCAAAAAAAUACGAAAAACCGAAACUCACCGGCUGCGGGGCUCUCCGAUGCGGCGGCUCCUCCGGCUUAUGUUGCAGUUGGGUGUUUUGCUUAUGUCAACCUAUAGAGAAAAAAACGGUGAUCACAACGGUAAAAAAAUUACGCGAAACGGGAAUCGGGAAGGGCCUCAUCGGAGACAAUUUGUGAAAUUUCUUGCGGCGGUGCCGUCGGGUUUCGCCGGUGUUAUUCCGGCCAAUUGGCCAGUCUUUUCACUCCGAUUUGACUAUGGGUGAGCUUCAAAUUGAAUUUCAUGCAAAAGGAAAAGUUUUUACCUUUUUUGGCGGUCGAAAAACGUUCCGAUGCGGUGGCAGGUGGCGGUGAUCAGCUUCCCAGCGGCUGGGUCGUCUUCUCCGGCGAGGGGUUCUGGGGGUUAGGGUUAGGGUUUGGAGCGGAUGAGGGUUAUUUAUACCUAUCCAUUUUUUAUAUGGGCCGUCCAUCGGGUUUUAUUUGAACCGUCCGAUCGCGAUUAAAUAGAGAGUGAAUCUAGAACGUUUAUCGAAAUCCAAUAUGGACCGUCCAUCACGAUUCACUCUGGGCCGUCCGAUCACUUUGAAUCUGGCCGUUCGAUUGCGUUUGGGAGGGAGCGCAUCCAGGUCGUCCGUGCGCGUAGAAACGGACCUCAGCCGUUCGAUCGCGCGCACGCAGAUCCCCCGCGUCAGCGCCUCUGCCACUUGGCGUGUCCUGGUUGGUCAGGGCUGCUGACUCAGUGUCUGACGUGGCGAAACUUCUCAAAAUUGCGUUUUAACUCUUGUUUUUCGAUUUUUCUUUCAAAAAUACAUUCAGAAUCUAAAUUUUUACCCAUUUUCUUCAAAAUUAUUUUCAAUUAAAUCUUUUUUAUAUUUUAUUUUAUUUUUUUAUUUUAAAGUUAAUAAAACAAAAUAUAAUAAUACAAAAUAAAAUUAUAAAAAUUUAUAUUUAUUAAUUUUUAAUUCUACCAAAAAUAAAAUUUUUGGGUGUUACAGUUUGAUUAGAACUUGUCACAUUUGUUGACCAAACCAUGUUGUUAUUCCCAUCAGACAGCACGAGGUUACCAUCGUUCCCAAUCGUCGAAACUCCUCUUUGAUCAGAAAUCGGCAACCCAUACAAUUGUUUCUGGUUCAAUAUUGAAAUACUUAAUACCCAGAUAUCGAAGAUUAGAAUUCUGGGGACUAAAGAAUUUAAGCUCAAAUAAUUCAUUAGGAGAUGCCAAAGUCACAGAGCCACCAUCUCUCAUUGAAUCUCCCUUUGUGAUUGUAUCAACUCCAUGGCAAAACUGAGCAAGAAACAAGUGAAGAAACAAACUGAAAGCAAAACCCAACUGGGUUUUCUUCUUAGCCAUUAAACCUUUCACAUAAAAAAAACAAAGACUCAUGUGAAGAUGAUAGAAAAGGGGAAAAAAAAAACAAGAAAAACCCGGGAGAAGAUAAGAAAAAUUGGUAAGAAAAAUCUGCGAGUGGUAUGUUAUUUGAGGAAGAGAAGUAAGACUGGGAAAGUUUUGCAAGUUGAAAUGGGUUAGUUUGCUGGAAUUCUAAACCACCGAAAAGAAUUUGUUUCGAUGGGGAAAAUCCAGCAAAUUGCCUAACGGGGUGUGUCUUUGUUGACUAAUCAAAAUCUGGAAGAGUUUUAAAAGAAGAAAAACAUGGUUUGGUGAGGGAAGGUCAAGAAAAUUCAUCAAACACAUGCAGUUGAAAAAUAGCCAUGGAUUCUUUUAUCUCUAAAAGUUAGCAAAAGAGAGAGUUCUCUGAAACUUAUUGAAGCUAUUCUGGACACUUACAGCCUUCUUACUUUUUACUGUUCAUCCCCCUCUCUCCUUCCUCGCUUUGUUGUAACCGGAGAAUGGUUUUUC
rnacentral:lncRNA from 1 species